CGGGCCGUAGCGCCCGCCCCCCGCCGCCCGUCCUGCCCGGAGCCGCCGCGCCGAUGCCACGUGGGAGGCGGCGGAGCCGCCGUCGGCGCCGGGCCGGAACCGCGGGCCCCCUGACGCUGGGGACGGCCCUCGCCGGGCGCAGAGAGGAGGGGAGGUCGCGGAGCCCCCGCGACCGCAGCGGGGUCGCCGAGACCCGAUGGGUCCUCGGAGCGGUGACGCCCGGCUCGCGGCUCGGCCUCCCGGGCCUAGAGGCGCUGGCGGCGGCGGCCGGGCCUAGAGGCGGCUCCCCGCCCUGGGCGGCGCCCUCGCUGCUCCAGGUGCCGGCGGCGGCCCAGCCGGCGCCGCGCCGGGAGGGCAGCGACCUGCCCGGCUGCGCGCCGGCCGCCCUGGCGGUGCUGCGGCUCCAGCCGGGCGCCGAGGGCUCGGCGCGGGCGGCGGCGGCGGCUGGGGCCGCGCCGCGCCUGCGGACCGUCUACGUGAACCCGCGCUGGCUGGAGCGGCAGGCGGCGCUGGGCGCGGCGGCGGCGGCGGCCAGCCCCUGCGCCGAGGCGGCGGCGGCGGCGAGCGGCGCGGCCGGGGCCCCAGCGGCGGCGGCGGCGGCGGGGCAGGGCGAGGCGGCGGCGGAGGCGGCGGCCACCCCUUACGUGGGGCUGCGGCGGCCCCUGGGCUACCAGCUGGCCAAGGCUACCAAGGAGCGGAUCUGGCGGGGGGAGUUCAUUGACCUCUUCUCCUUGCUCCACACAGAGCUGGCCCCCGAGCACGGCCCGCGCCCGGGGGACACGCUGGACCAGUGGGUCUCUGCCUUUCUGGUGUACGCCAGCGUGCUGUGCGAGAAGCACCCAGCCCGCUGCGGGGCCAUGUUCAAGUAUCUGGACACCAUCCGCAAGCUGCAUGCCACGUAUGGGGGCACCUCGUGGAUGAGCUACGACGAGGACUUCCGGCGGCGGGCGGCCAAGGACCCGACCCUGCCUUGGGGCGACGUGGACCUGGACCUGUGGAUGAAGUGGAUGGCUCCCCUCAAGUCGCUUGUCAGCAGGCAUCAGCAUGCUGAGAGCGAGCCGCAGGCCCCCCCGCCGCCGCCACCUCCACAGCUGCCCCCGAGCCCCAAGCAGGAGGAGAAAAGCCAGAUUUCUCCGUUCUCAAGAACAACAGGUCAGUUUUCAUUUUACUACAGAUCUUACGUGAGCACCAGACGGGCAAUGUCUCAUACAUUUCAUCUCAUCCGAGAUUGGAUCUUCAGCUUGUAAUGUUAACCAGACUUGUAACUUUCUUGAUAGCUGUUCUAACAGUACAGACCUUUGGACAGUUGUCUGCUAAGGCACUGAAGGUCUUGGUCCUCCUUAGUUUAAUGGAAAAUUUCCAGUUGAAUUAAGCAGUAGGAUAGGUUUUCCCCAUGUCUGAAAGAAGCAACCAGAAGUUGCUUGAAGAAAAGUUCUGUGUGUUUAUUUUUAACCAGAUAGUUUAUAAAACACCAAAAUAAAUUUAGUUUAAUGGUUUGUCUGAAUAUAAAAAUUGUAGUGCUUUAGAAGCACAAUAAAAGUAAAAGCUGUAUAAUUGUUCAGUGUGGAUUCACUACCUUUCCAUCGAUAUAGAACAAUUUUUAUUGAUAUCACUUACACUGUAAUUUGUAACUUUUAAAAAGAAAAAUGUCCUUAACUGAAAUAAUUGUCUGAGCAGCUGUUAAAUGUACAUGUGGCCUAGGAUAAAGCAUGAGGUUUUCAUUGGCAAGGCAGCAGCAAGGAAUGUUGCUGUUCUAAAGGUGACUUGUUUCCCCCCUGCCCCCAAGCUGUGACUUUGGUGUUUGAGAAGAAGUAGUAGAGAUUUAAAAUGGGAGAGAAUAGGCUUUUAUACACAGUAGGCUUUGACUAGAACCUAAGUUUUUCUAAUUCCAUAUGAUCAAGAGGAAGAGAUGUUUUACAGAGACCUUUUCUUCUAGAUUGUUUGAAUUGAUUUUUUUUUCUCAUAAAAUCAGAGGACAGCAUUAGGCAGUCUGACUCAAUUUCCUCUCUCUCAAUUGAAGGCUCCUUAAAUUUCAGCAUAUUGUAAGAGCCUAUGUCUCUUUAGCUCUGCAGUUCUGCAGAAGGUCAAUCAGAACGAAAAAAAAAAUCAAGAAAAGCAAAGCGAUGUGUUAGAGUCUGGCUGUCCUUUCUAAGGAAGCAGUAAAGAUCUAUGACUUUGUUUACACAGAAUGAAGUGAGAAACCCUGGUUUCGGUUUGAGUGCAAUAAUCAGCACAUACGUAAGAUAGCUGAGACUCAUUCCUGCAAAUUUGUCUCGCUUAACUUCAGGCGAUUCUCAAUUUUUUUUUUUCAGACCCCAUGAAAACAGAAGGCCAGUUGGAAGGGCAGUCAGACUAAGUGGGUGCUGAAGCUCAGUAUCAGAUCACUCAUACCGUCUCUCUCUUGUCCUGUUUUCUUCAUCAGAAUUCUGUUCUUCAGUAGUCCAAGCUGUGUCUCUUCACCGUCGUUGCUACAGAUUAAUCAUCACAGGCAUCUCCUGAGGAAAUUCUGUAAUAGUGACAGGAUGGGGGGGAGGCGAGGGGAAGGAAGGGAUGAGUAGGCAUUGGUCUCUUCAGUCCCAGUGAUGAGUUGCACAGUGCAGGGCUUAACCUACUGUCUCCCAGCUGCAAAGUGGCAACAGUUUCGGGUUUCCUGUCCUAUUGGGGAGUAGUAUACCCAGCUGGAGUCUGAAACGCUUCCUAAUGUUCUUUGCUGAGUCCUGCCAAGAAUUUGUUGGAUUUGUUUGUUACUCUCUAGUCUUCAUACAGUCUGGUGCCUUUCCUGGCACUCUGUCACCUCUCAGUUUCCCUGUGGCUGCUGAUGUUAGACUGGACCACCCUGUCUUCUUUGUCUGCUGUAGACAAUUGCCAGGGUUCUGCUUUGCUCUCCAGUGUCAUUGGCUGCUUUAAAACGGCUGCCUGCUUUCAUAAAGAAACUCGCUUUUCAAACUAUUAGUGGUGUUUUUGAGAAAUGUGGGGCUUCCUCUCUUGCUCUUUUUUUCUUUUUCUUUUUUUUUUUUUUUUUUCCCCUCCUUCACAAACUUGGCCUUUGUCACUGUCUUUGAGCCACCCAGUCACUGUGGUACUUGUGCUUCCCUGCUUUGGUAGCACGUGUACUUUCCCACUGACUGUUGUGCUAUAAGCUUCUGCAUGAAAUUUCUUUGGCUCUUAAUUUAUAGUUAAAAGUGUUCAACUUCAAUGGGUUUCUUCUCUUUCAAACAGUUAGUUACUGGGUGGAUUUGCAUAUGUCAAUGUCAUUGGAUGAAUCUUGCCCUUGCAGCUACUGAAGUUGCCAUGUCCUUGUUGCAUAGACCUGCUGGUUGUGUUGAAAGAGUGGUGCGGAAUUGCAUAUCCUCUGUGCAUCGUUGAUUUAUGAGUAGAUUCAUUUUGGUGGUUAUAAGCUAAGCUUGCUGUCACAUACAUACUAUGACAGACAGAAGGAAGGUGCGAGCUAUCUGAAAGCAGACAUUGAGGAUAACCAUUUAACUGUGAUGAGUGAAGAUAUACCACACUAGGUGAGAGGCUUACAGUGGAAAUGAACCAUGAUUCUUUUAUUCGUACAAUAACUGUGAUCUGUAGUGGAAAUCAUUGAUCUACUUUUUUUUUUUUAAUCCUGAUUAUUUCUGUAAGUUGUAGGAUGUUCUAUCUUCAGUGUUAUUGCAAUUUCAUAUUGUUUUCUGAAAAAUAAAAAAUGUUGAGCAUCUAUA